UCGGACGUGGUGCAUGGUGCACACCGCUCGCAGUCCGCAAUUUCCUUUCAAGACAGUAGGAUGCGGGAAGUCCGGGUUCGACUCCCGGCGUCCGAA